CUCCCCAUUUCCUUGGGCUCAUUUGGAGUCAUCAUGGCUGGCCAUUAAAUAUAUUAAUUUAACCAAAAAGAAGAUAGGCUCCAAUGGCUUGUCACAUUUUAAUAGGCAAUGAAGUUGACGCAGAUGUCCGAAUCGGAGCCAAUAGCUGAAGCCAAAACUAGAGGCCGAAGCCACAGUCGAUGACUGAGAUACAAGCAGCGAGUAAUAGAAUUAUGAUCAAAAUGAGACGACGAGGUUCUCUUAAUAAAAUGGUCUCUCUCGUUAGUGAAUAAGCUUGCAUUCACCCGACUUAGAUUAUUUACUCCUGAUUUUCUACCUUAUUUUUUUUGUGAGCCAGCA
rnacentral:lncRNA from 1 species